AUAUGGCUGAUAGAUCCAAAUAUGUUGAUAUUUGAAGGAGAGGCCAGUAGUGCAAAGAAAGAAGUCAAACUAAAGCCAUUGUCUGUGAUGAAAAUCUUGUAUAAAUGUGAUAUAUCUGAUACAUCAAGACCUAAAACUGCUAGAAGUACAGUAUUUGACCAGUGGGCUAGUGAUAACAGUGUUCAUGGAUUCCAUCUACCAUAUGUUUUGUGCUCAAGUUUAAUUACCUGCCUUUUAAAGAACACAAAGCAAUUACCAAAGUCACAUAGAUGCCUUAACUCAUUCCUGGUUGGUAUUCUACACUAUAACAGAUGACAAAAGAACGUAAAAUUGAUGUUGUUGGUACUCUUGUCCCUGAUAGAUAAAUUUAUAGAUUGUAAAAUAAAAUGUUUGUAAAUAAAUUAAAUGUAUUAUGAGAA